rnacentral:rRNA from 1 species
UACGAAGGGGGCUAGCGUUGCUCGGAAUCACUGGGUUUAAAGGGUGCGUAGGCGGGCAGGUAAGUCAGUGGUGAAAUCCUUGAGCUUAACUCGAGAACUGCCAUUGAUACUAUCUGUCUUGAAUAUUGUGGAGGUAAGCGGAAUAUGUCAUGUAGCGGUGAAAUGCUUAGAUAUGACAUAGAACACCUAUUGCGAAGGCAGCUUACUACGCAUAUAUUGACGCUGAGGCACGAAAGCGUGGGGAUCAAACAGG